GUUACACUUUAUGCAGUGCAACUGUAUCUUAAUAGGUAUUAUUUAACUCUCACUGUCAUUGUUUUAGCAUCAUCAACAACAAUUUCUUAUUCCGUUGCCACUACUGCUAUGCCAACUGUAGUGAAUAAUGGAGAAAACAUUUGGUGGAUAAUUGGUGCAGCAGUAUUAGUAUCACUAUUGGCUAUACCAAUAAUUGUGAUAUUAAUAGUAAUGAUAUACAUAAAAAGAACUAAUAAUAAUAGAAAGAGACAAUCAGAUAAUGAUAUUGUAAUGGAAUGCAGUCCAGCUUAUGCUACAGCUGAAUUUAAAACAAAUACUGCUGAUGAUAUACUAAUGAAGGAUAGUCC